AACUCUGUAAGCGUAUAUCAAAGUUGUUGCAGUUAAAACGCUCGUAGUCGAAUCUUGGCUGAACUUACGCGGAGUCCGCAAGGAUUCUGCGGUUGAGGAAAGCCUUUGUGGAUUGUGUGCGCGGAGGUGUUUUAUUACACUUCCGUUGUACUGCCACCGUUUACUGUGAAAAAAUUAGAGUGUUCAAAGCAAGCGAUUUGCCCUGAAUACAUUAGCAUGGAAUAAUAGAAUAGGACCUGGUCUUAUUUUGUUGGUUUGUAUAAUUUCAGGUAAUGAUUAACAGGGACGGUUGGGGGCAUUUGUAUUCCGAGGCGAGAGGUGAAAUUCUUAGACCCUCGGAAGACAAACAGCUGCGAAAGCGUUUGCCAAGGACGUUUUCAUUGAUCAAGAACGAAAGUAC
rnacentral:rRNA from 1 species